rnacentral:miRNA from 1 species
UGAAAUGUUGUCACUAGAG